AUUGAACGCUGACGGCAUGCUUUACACAUGCAAGUCGAACGGUAACAGGCCGCAAGGUGCUGACGAGUGGCGAACGGGUGAGUAAUGCAUCGGAACGUGCCCAGUCGUGGGGGAUAACUACUCGAAAGAGUAGCUAAUACCGCAUACGAUCUAUGGAUGAAAGCGGGGGACCGUAAGGCCUCGCGCGAUUGGAGCGGCCGAUGUCAGAUUAGGUAGUUGGUGGGGUAAAGGCUCACCAAGCCAACGAUCUGUAGCUGGUCUGAGAGGACGACCAGCCACACUGGGACUGAGACACGGCCCAGACUCCUACGGGAGGCAGCAGUGGGGAAUUUUGGACAAUGGGCGCAAGCCUGAUCCAGCAAUGCCGCGUGCAGGAAGAAGGCCUUCGGGUUGUAAACUGCUUUUGUACGGAACGAAACGGCUCUGGUUAAUACCCGGGGCUAAUGACGGUACCGUAAGAAUAAGCACCGGCUAACUACGUG
rnacentral:rRNA from 1 species